rnacentral:tRNA from 1 species
UCUGGGGGCGGGGGGGGAACGCUCCCCCUGCCCAGGGCAGGGGGCGGGGGGGAUGGGUCCGUACCCGGCCGCGCUCGGCUCCCGCGCCGAACC